UACGUAGGGGCCGAGCGUUGUCCGGAGGUACUGGGCGUAAAGCGCGCGCAGGCGGCGCAUCGCGCCCGGCGUGAAAGCCCCCGGCUCAACCGGGGAGGGUCGUCGGGGACGGGUGCGCUUGAGGACGGCAGGGGCAGGUGGAAUUCCCGGUGUAGUGGUGAAAUGCGUAGAGAUCGGGAGGAACACCCGUGGCGAAGGCGGCCUGCUGGGCCGAUCCUGACGCUGAGGCGCGAAGGCGUGGGGAGCGAACAGG
rnacentral:rRNA from 1 species